rnacentral:rRNA from 1 species
UAAAGUUGUUGCAGUUAAAAAUCUCGUAGUUGGAUUUCUGGGAGGGUGCCAAUGUCCGCCGACGUGCGUGCGCAGCGGCGCCCUUCCAUCCUUCUGUUAACGCCUCUUGGCAUUCAUUUGCUGGUGGCGGGCUCAGAUAUUUUACCUCGAGAAAAUUAGAGUGUUUCAGGCAGGCUAGGCCGGAAUACAUUAGCAUGGAAUAAUGGAAUAGGACUACGGUCUCUUUGUUGGUUUGAGGGACUGCAGUAAUGAUUAAUAGGGAUAGUUGGGGGCAUUAGUAUUUAAUUGUCAGAGGUGGAAUUCUCGGAUUUGUUAAAGACUAACUUAUGCGAAAGCAUUUGCCAAGGAUGUUUUCAUUAAUCAAGAACGAAAGUUAGGGGAUCAAAGACGAUCAGAUACCGUCCUAGUCUUAACCAUAAACUAUGCCGACUCGGGAUCGGGGGCGCGAACUAUCCGCCUUCGGCACCGUAUGAGAAAUCAAAGUCUUUGGGUUCUGGGGGGAGUA